CUAUCAGCUUGUUGGUGGGGUAAUGGCCUACCAAGGCAAAGACGGGUAGCCGGUCUAAGAGGAUGGUCGGCCACACUGGGACUGAGACACUGCCCAGACUCCUACGGGAGGCUGCAGUCGAGAAUCUUUCGCAAUGCCCGAAAGGGUGACGAGGCGACGCCGCGUGAGCGAAGAAGGCCUUAGGGUUGUAAAGCUCUGUCGAGGGUUAGGAAAUGCAGGUGCGUUAAUAGCGCACUUGCUUGACUAAGGCUCCAGAGGAAGCCACGGCUAACUCUGUGCCAGCAGCCGCGGUAAUACAGAGGCGGCAAGCGUUGUUCGGAAUUAUUGGGCGUAAAGAGCACGUAGGCGGCCUUGCAAGUCAGUUGUGAAA
rnacentral:rRNA from 1 species